GGAUGAGCUGUGCUCCUGGAGGAAGCAAGGGAGCCCAGCUGGAGCCAUAGCCAGUACAGUGGUAGCAGUUGGACUGACCAUUGCUGCUGCAGGAUUUGCAGGCUGUUAUGUUUUGCAAGCCAUGAAGCAUAUGGAGCCUCAAGUAAAACAAGUUUUUCAAAGCCUACCAAAAUCUGCCUUCAGUGGUGGCUAUUAUAGAGGUGGGUUUGAACCCAAAAUGACAAAAUGGGAAGUAGCAUUAAUACUAGGUGUAAGCCCUACUGCCAAUAAGGGGAAAAUAAGAGAUGCUUAUCAACGAAUUAUACUUUUAAAUAAUCCUGACAAAGGAGGAUCUCCUUAUAUAGCAGCCAAAAUCAGUGAAGCUAAAGAUUUACUAGAAGAUCAAGCUAAAAAAUGAAGUAAAUGUAUGAUGAAUUUUAAGUUCAUAUUAGUUUAUGUAUAUGAGUACUAAGUUUUUGUAAUAAAAUGCCUCAGAGCUACAAUAGAA